rnacentral:lncRNA from 1 species
AAGUCUCACUUAGUUGCCCAAGCAGACCUUGCAGUUGUAUUAUUCUUCCUGCCUCAGCCUCAGGAGGAAGUGGUCUCUGUAUUUCUCUACAUAUACAUUGACAGAGAAAGGUUGUUGAUUAAAAUUUGGAUUUAAGUUAUUAAUACAGCAUAUUUUUGCUAAUGAUCAAUGACAGAAUGAGACAUUAAAUUUUUAUUACCUCAUAUAAGGGGAAAUAUUACUGUGAGGUAAAGGUAAUGUAGACCAGUCUACAAUAGGGCUAGGGAGUACAGGUUUGUGCAGUAAUAACCAGCUUCUUCAAAAACGAGGAGUAAAUUGUAUUGAUAACAUUACCAGUCACUCCUAUUUUUAGUGAAUAUACUAGAAAAAUAUAUGAAAAAAAAUGCCUGGAUAACUUUGAUUUUUUUUUUCACUUACUGCAGCCAUUCAUCAGAAUGGGAAGGGUUUAAUAAACAAAUAUAGUUUGUUUUAUUUUGUUAUAAAUACAUUUAAGACAGCAUGCUUAAUUUUAUAUUGAAUUGUAUAAUUUGUAAUUUUUUUCUGCAUAAAUAUUUUGUGUAUUGUCAGCUUUGGUUAGAAUCCAGUUAUUAAAGUUUCUUUUUGUCAGUCAGCUUUUAAAAAUGUACUUUAUUAAAACUUUGAGGAUACAGUUUAAACUUUAUAAUUCAGUCCAUUUUUAUAUAUAAAUGACCCCAAACUAGUAAUAAUUCUGUAAUUGUUACUAAUUAGAUCAAAUAAUAUUCUAUGUUAUACAUAUGGUAGGUAGUUAAUAAAAACUCAUUACAUUGAUGUUAGUACAGGCUAAGUAAUAGAAUGUCCAUAGUCUCUCUUAUGAUGUGAUCAUGGUAUUUGACUUUUAGAAAUGAUUUUAAGAGACACAUGGUGGCAUGUGUCUGCACUCCCAGGCUUGAGAGGCUUAUAGAAGGAUUAUAAGUACAAGGCCAGCUUGGGCUAUAUAUAGCGAGACCCUGUUUCAAUCUCUGUAUACCAUCCAGUGCUUUUUGAUUUUAGUCAUAUCUUAGAAACAUUGUAGGUUUGAGUAUAGAUCAUAGUAUUAAAGUAAUUAUUGAUGCCAAGAGUGGUGGUGAAUGCCUUUAAUCUCAGCACGUGGAAGGCAGAGGCAGAAGGAUCUCAGUGAGUUUGAGCCAGCUUGGUCUACAUAGCAAGCUCCAGGAUAGCUGGAACUACAUGAAAGACCCUGUCUCAAAAAAAAAAAAAAAAAAAAAGUAAAAAUUUGAUGUGAAUUUAGCUAUACCUUUUUUGAGUUUUUAGUGAAUAUAAAUGUUACAAUUAGACUGUAUGUACUGUGUCUGUUAAGUAUGCAGUAGUAUUAUGCCUAAAGUAUAUAUAUUAUCUGAUUCAAAUGCUUCAUUGCUAAAUAAUGUUAAUGGUUGUUUGAGCUAUUGGAACAAUGGUGUCAAAUAGACACACUGGGUAGACACAAAUUUUCAGUUUUCAAAUAAAUAUAAUAUCUGCAAAAUGCAGCAGACUGAAGCACAAUAAAGUAUGUUUUCAGUAACAUGAGCUUGUA